GGAGGAGGAGGAGGAGGUGGCCCAGGACGCCGAGCGAGGGGGCCAGGCCCUGGCACAGCCGGCACCCCCUGCCCUAAGGCCCGUCAGGGGCGGGCGGAUGCGCGGGCGUCGCCUCAGCUACCCCAGGCGCCUGGGCAAGAGGGCUCGGGCAGGCGCCGCUGAAGGGAGGGGACUGCGGGGGGCGGGUUAACAGCACCCAAGGCCGUUGUAGGCCUCAGCGGCCCCCAAAGGAGCGGGGACCCGGCGGAAGGCUCGGUGCCUGUGAAGCGCGACAUGGCGACAAGGCCGACGGCACCCGGAGGCCUAGUAGGUACAGAGAAAGGGCGGGGCUAAAGCUGCCUGGACGACCAUUAGACCUCUUACGUCUGGGCGGCGCGGAGACUGCAUUUCCCAGAGGGCCUCGCGCGGCGCGGGCUUGGCGGGGGCGGGGAAAAGGAAGCGCCUCGGAGCCAGUGCGCAGGCGUGAGAGUCCCCGGUGGCUACUUAAGGGAGGCUGGCUCGCUGUUCUUCCUUUCGCGUCUGCGGCGCUUUGUCUUCUUUGUGGUCUGCUGUCUUUUCUUCAUCCGAUGUCGUCUCAACCCUGGAAUCAGAAUUUACUACUGUAUGUGAUUUGCGUGAUCAGACGCUACAGAAUGAAUCUUGGCGGAGGGGUCCCUGCUGGGGCUCAAAGGGAACCACGUGUCGACAGGCACAACCUUCAGCUUCCUGACCUCUGGAGCUCACUGUUGGCAGCAAACAGGCAUUGAAUGGACCAUGAUGGAUCCAGGAUUGGGAGAGAAUUUGACCAGAGCCCUGUGUACAUCAGGGCCUACAUAGGUUGAUGGCAGCCUGAUUGCAGUUUGGUUCAGUUCUGUAACAGGUAAGAUUUUUGUAAAUUUUUGUCCCUUUAGGUGUUAACCCCUUGGUAAAAUGAUAACUGAUUGUGUUGCGGGUAGAGAAGUGUUGGGUUUGCCCAGUUGGGAGUGACUUGGGGACCAGUUGCAAGUAGGGUUCCAAGUUACCUUUUGAGUUGAGUUCCAAAUGGCUUGUAAUUCAUUAUGAAAGAUUGAAUUCUUAACACUGUUAGUUGGAUGCCAACCUCAGUACAUUACUCCAUGGGCCUCUUAAACAUGGCGGACAGACUCCUCUGUCCAGUGGCAAAGAAGUCUGGGUUUGAUCCCUGGUCAGAGAACUAGAUCCUAUGUGCAUCAGCUAAGGCCUGGUGCAGCCAAAUCAAUAGAAGUAAAUAUUUUAAAACUACUGCCUUGCAUCAUCACAGUGAGCAGAUCAAGGAGACAGUUUUUUACCUUCUGCCUCCCUUCUUAAACAUAACGCUUUGUAUGCCUGCUUAUCCACUUUACAUUCAGAUGCCUCCAUUUGUCCCUAAAGUAUCUUUUGCAUUUAUUUCAUGCAGAAUGUUGAGUAGAAUCAAUAUUUGGCAUAUCAGGAACAAUAUUGACUUUGAUGGGCAGACCCCAGGUUGGAAGCCUCCCUCCUUGGUCUGGUACUUACCUGUACAUCUUCCUAGUUCCUGAAGUUUAGAUACUCCGACAUCCCAAACAAGUAGCCAUUUGCAUCCUAAUGAAGUACUGAUUGUGAUGUGUCUUUCUUUUUAAGGAGUUUCAACUGUGGAGUCAGAAUGCAAGGCCUCUUGAGAAAAAUGUACAUUUACUUCUGAAGCAUGAAGCAUGAAGGUUUGGGUUGUUGUGUAACCUAAGUGUGUAGAGGUAAAAAGCUUGUGGCUGUUUUGGUUAUUUUACUUUGUAGCCUUCCUGUCUAGAGAAAUAAAAUAAAAUCCUUUAAAUGAAAAUGCUGUUCU
rnacentral:lncRNA from 1 species